GUCUGCAGAGCAACUUGCCAUGCCUUCCUCAAUAAACGCGCCUGCUCCCCUCGCCUCGUUAUGUGACCCCCCAUUCUCUCCUUAGCUCACCCUCCUCCUCUGCAGUAGACCCUCGUCACACUGUUGUGCCAUGGUGCCACCAUCGCUCUCUCUCUCUCUCUGUCUCUCUCUGUAUCUUGUGCCCAUGUACACAUAUACCUACUUGCAAUGUCGAGACAUCGGAGACCCUCACAGGUAGGUCAAAGAGAACUCCAGCAGAGAGAGAGAGAGAGAGAGAGAGAGAGAGAGAUUAGAGCUCACAAUUGAAGAGAAGAUUGUUGAGUUUGCCUCACAUUGGAAAAAUAUAGUGGAGGAUGGGUAUUUAUGUACAUGGUUGAUUCCAAGACUCAAUGACUAAUUAAGCUUUUGGGUCAAA